rnacentral:tRNA from 1 species
CGGCGUGGCUCAGAGGUAGAGCAGCUGAUUCGUAAUCAGCAGGUCGGGAGUUCGAUUCUCCCCGCC